rnacentral:lncRNA from 1 species
GCACAUGUAACAACAAACUCAACAAAAGGUGAAGUUCUUAUUUAUUGGAUUGGCCUAGAAGCCAAAUAUUUAUUUUACAAUAAACUCGGAAAACACUCAUUAUUGGGUGAAAGCAAUGGAAAUUCUAAAGCAAAAGACAGAAGAUGGUAGCUCCAUAUGGCAUCAGCAGAAAGUAAAAGUAUACUUAAUUCAUUCGGGUAUUGCAUCUUUUAGAUACUGGUCAACAAUUACGUGAAUAGGCUGAGCAUGGUGGUGCUGGAGAUGUUGGUGGCGUUGGUGCUCUCGAUGGAAUGCACUUUCUAUAACCCUGACCGGGAGAACACUUAACAGCAGGCUUAUUAGGGUCUCCUGUCUGAAAUGAACCU